UCACCGCCUCCGCCGCCAUCUUCCGCUGGACGACGCCAGGGCCACUGACGCGGGCGCUUUAACAGCUCCAAAGAACGCUCCCUUUGCAGGGGACCUGCACCACCACCUCGUAAGCUCAGCGUUAAGUCUCUGAAUUCUUAACCUAAUUUGGAAUCAAGACCAACUUAAAGGAUCACAGAGUUAAUGAAGACUUUGGAUUCUUACCCAGAUUUGGGCAUCUAUACCAGCUCAUAGACUUAAGGAGACUCCACGAGAAGUCAUCCAACCCCUUGUCUGAAGACCUCCAAACAGAGAGAACUCAUGACCCUUGGAAGCAGCCAUUUGAUUCUGGGGCAAGAUUUUCCUGAAAUCCAACUUCAAUUGGACUCUUUGCAACUGCCCAUUCUGCCUUGCAAGGACAAAAAGAACAAGCCUGAAUCCUCCUCCACGGAAUAGCCCUUCAAAUUCUUGAAGAGAACGAGCACAUCCUCUCUUCUCCAGGCUAAAUAUGCCCAAUUCCUCAAACAUCUCGAACUUCAAUGUGUUCGUUUUACAGAGGAGCACACUGAGGCCCAGAGACGAGAAGAGGUUCACCAAGAUGACACGACCAAUAAAUGAGGGACUUGGGAAUAGAACUUGGGUCUUCUGACUCCAAGGCCAGGGCUCCUUCCAUGAUCCCACACGACCAGCAGCAAGCACAGAGCACGCAUCCUGUCGGGGCCCUUAGAGGCAAGAUUUCUUUGAAAGGAAACAAAAUACUCUGUGGGUAUUAGUCAAGAAAUCCCCCUGAUUAUAGGUUGCAUUCAAGCUUAAACAAGCCAGAUUUGGAGGAAGAACUCAGCUGAUGCUCAGAUCAAUAUGGCGGAUAAUGACAGGAUCCCAACACAGCUGUGAUGCUGUCAGAGCUUUCUUGGGACCUUUAUAACAAAUAACACCAAUGUGUUGUUUUGG